AACCUUUGACAAUGGAUCUCUUGGUUCUCGCAAUGAUGAAGAAUGCAUCAAAAUACGAGAAUUGCAGAAUAUGUGAAUCAUCAAAUUGAACACAUAGCAUUUUUUUGGUUUACUAAAAAAAAGUAUGCCUAUUUGAGUAUCA
rnacentral:rRNA from 1 species